UCCGAGUUGACCCCGGCAGUCUUCGAUGAGUCCCCGGCCGAACCGCUGGCAACAUCGAACGAGGGUUGCGCUCGUUGCGGGACUUAACCCAACAUCUCACGACACGAGCUGACGACAGCCAUGCACCACCUGUGGACGCCCCCGAAGGACACCGCAUCUCUACGGCUUUUGCGCCCAUGUCAAACCCAGGUAAGGUUCUUCGCGUCGCAUCGAAUUAAUCCGCAUGCUCCGCCGCUUGUGCGGGUCCCCGUCAAUUCCUUUGAGUUUUAAUCUUGCGACCGUACUCCCCAGGCGGUCUACUUCACGCGUUAGCUGCGUUACCAAGUUAAUUAAAACCCGACAACUAGUAGACAUCGUUUAGGGCGUGGACUAC
rnacentral:misc_RNA from 1 species